GGUGGAUGCCUUGGCACUAGAAGCCGAUGAAGGACGUUACUAACGACGAUAUGCUUUGGGGAGCUGUAAGUAAGCUUUGAUCCAGAGAUUUCCGAAUGGGGAAACCCAGCAUGAGUUAUGUCAUGUUAUCGAUAUGUGAAUACAUAGCAUAUCAGAAGGCACACCCGGAGAACUGAAACAUCUUAGUACCCGGAGGAAGAGAAAGAAAAUUCGAUUCCCUUAGUAGCGGCGAGCGAAACGGGAAGAGCCCAAACCAACAAGCUUGCUUGUUGGGGUUGUAGGACACUCUAUACGGAGUUACAAAGGACGACAUUAGACGAAUCAUCUGGAAAGAUGAAUCAAAGAAGGUAAUAAUCCUGUAGUCGAAAAUGUUGUCUCUCUUGAGUGGAUCCUGAGUACGACGGAGCACGUGAAAUUCCGUCGGAAUCUGGGAGGACCAUCUCCUAAGGCUAAAUACUCUCUAGUGACCGAUAGUGAACCAGUACCGUGAGGGAAAGGUGAAAAGCACCCCGGAAGGGGAGUGAAAUAGAACCUGAAACCGUGUGCUUACAAGUAGUCAGAGCCCGUUAAUGGGUGAUGGCGUGCCUUUUGUAGAAUGAACCGGCGAGUUACGAUUUGAUGCAAGGUUAAGCAGUAAAUGUGGAGCCGUAGCGAAAGCGAGUCUGAAUAGGGCGUUUAGUAUUUGGUCGUAGACCCGAAACCAGGUGAUCUACCCUUGGUCAGGUUGAAGUUCAGGUAACACUGAAUGGAGGACCGAACCGACUUACGUUGAAAAGUGAGCGGAUGAACUGAGGGUAGCGGAGAAAUUCCAAUCGAACCUGGAGAUAGCUGGUUCUCUCCGAAAUAGCUUUAGGGCUAGCCUCAAGUGAUGAUUAUUGGAGGUAGAGCACUGUUUGGACGAGGGGCCCCUCUCGGGUUACCGAAUUCAGACAAACUCCGAAUGCCAAUUAAUUUAACUUGGGAGUCAGAACAUGGGUGAUAAGGUCCGUGUUCGAAAGGGAAACAGCCCAGACCACCAGCUAAGGUCCCAAAAUAUAUGUUAAGUGGAAAAGGAUGUGGCGUUGCCCAGACAACUAGGAUGUUGGCUUAGAAGCAGCCAUCAUUUAAAGAGUGCGUAAUAGCUCACUAGUCGAGUGACACUGCGCCGAAAAUGUACCGGGGCUAAACAUAUUACCGAAGCUGUGGAUUGUCCUUUGGACAAUGGUAGGAGAGCGUUCUAAGGGCGUUGAAGCAUGAUCGUAAGGACAUGUGGAGCGCUUAGAAGUGAGAAUGCCGGUGUGAGUAGCGAAAGACGGGUGAGAAUCCCGUCCACCGAUUGACUAAGGUUUCCAGAGGAAGGCUCGUCCGCUCUGGGUUAGUCGGGUCCUAAGCUGAGGCCGACAGGCGUAGGCGAUGGAUAACAGGUUGAUAUUCCUGUACCACCUAUAAUCGUUUUAAUCGAUGGGGGGACGCAGUAGGAUAGGCGAAGCGUGCGAUUGGAUUGCACGUCUAAGCAGUAAGGCUGAGUAUUAGGCAAAUCCGGUACUCGUUAAGGCUGAGCUGUGAUGGGGAGAAGACAUUGUGUCUUCGAGUCGUUGAUUUCACACUGCCGAGAAAAGCCUCUAGAUAGAAAAUAGGUGCCCGUACCGCAAACCGACACAGGUAGUCAAGAUGAGAAUUCUAAGGUGAGCGAGCGAACUCUCGUUAAGGAACUCGGCAAAAUGACCCCGUAACUUCGGGAGAAGGGGUGCUCUUUAGGGUUAACGCCCAGAAGAGCCGCAGUGAAUAGGCCCAAGCGACUGUUUAUCAAAAACACAGGUCUCUGCUAAACCGUAAGGUGAUGUAUAGGGGCUGACGCCUGCCCGGUGCUGGAAGGUUAAGAGGAGUGGUUAGCUUCUGCGAAGCUACGAAUCGAAGCCCCAGUAAACGGCGGCCGUAACUAUAACGGUCCUAAGGUAGCGAAAUUCCUUGUCGGGUAAGUUCCGACCCGCACGAAAGGCGUAACGAUUUGGGCACUGUCUCAACGAGAGACUCGGUGAAAUCAUAGUACCUGUGAAGAUGCAGGUUACCCGCGACAGGACGGAAAGACCCCGUGGAGCUUUACUGUAGCCUGAUAUUGAAAUUCGGCACAGCUUGUACAGGAUAGGUAGGAGCCUUUGAAACGUGAGCGCUAGCUUACGUGGAGGCGCUGGUGGGAUACUACCCUAGCUGUGUUGGCUUUCUAACCCGCACCACUUAUCGUGGUGGGAGACAGUGUCAGGCGGGCAGUUUGACUGGGGCGGUCGCCUCCUAAAAGGUAACGGAGGCGCUCAAAGGUUCCCUCAGAAUGGUUGGAAAUCAUUCAUAGAGUGUAAAGGCAUAAGGGAGCUUGACUGCGAGACCUACAAGUCGAGCAGGGUCGAAAGACGGACUUAGUGAUCCGGUGGUUCCGCAUGGAAGGGCCAUCGCUCAACGGAUAAAAGCUACCCCGGGGAUAACAGGCUUAUCUCCCCCAAGAGUUCACAUCGACGGGGAGGUUUGGCACCUCGAUGUCGGCUCAUCGCAUCCUGGGGCUGUAGUCGGUCCCAAGGGUUGGGCUGUUCGCCCAUUAAAGCGGUACGCGAGCUGGGUUCAGAACGUCGUGAGACAGUUCGGUCCCUAUCCGUCGUGGGCGUAGGAAAUUUGAGAGGAGCUGUCCUUAGUACGAGAGGACCGGGAUGGACAUACCUCUGGUGUACCAGUUGUCGUGCCAACGGCAUAGCUGGGUAGCUAUGUGUGGACGGGAUAAGUGCUGAAAGCAUCUAAGCAUGAAGCCCCCCUCAAGAUGAGAUUUCCCAACUUCGGUUAUAAGAUCCCUCAAAGAUGAUGAGGUUAAUAGGUUCGAGGUGGAAGCAUGGUGACAUGUGGAGCUGACGAAUACUAAUCGAUCGAAGACUUAAUCAA
rnacentral:rRNA from 1 species